AUCCUUUUUGAAUUGGUCCCUGAACAGAUCACAGAGCAGAUGGAAAAGGCCAUUCUGACAUGACUCUUUGGCUUAAUUAUAGCAUUACUAAGACAGCAUAUGGAGUUGUAUUUACAGAUGUGGUGUGGAGCAAAUUCCACAGAUGAGAGCCCAGAAUGUGUUGCCUUCAGCACCCAUUAUGGACCAAGACAGCAUCCUGGCUGGAAAGGAAUGAAUCUGCUCCUGGGCAGUGUACGACUAUGACAGUCAAAGGUCCAUGCAGCACUUCUGGAGGACUAUUAAGUUCAUGCCCACUUAUGCUAAGGGCCAGUGGCAAAGCCACAAUUCACGGGGUACAACCAAACAGCCUAGGCACCGCACACUUAGAUUGGUUAGACCAGUUGGAUCAUUAUCCUGUACAAAUCUACCCUGCCUUCUGCCUGACUUCACAUUAACUAUCUCCCCACUGUAAAAAGAUGAUCAGAGGUAACCUUUCUGUUACAUGUGCUGCCACAGCAAUGGCUUUGUCACGACACAGAGCCUGGCACUGUCAACUUCCCAUGACUGACAGGUUUGUACAACAUGACUUUGUUUGCCAGUCUCUCAUUCUGGUCACAUCAAAAGAAAGAACAAACUAUAAUUGAAAAACAGACAACUUCCCAAAUCAAAUGCGACUCUGACCCCAAUCAGGAGGGGAAGAAACAGUAAUUCAUUCUGGCACCCUAAUUAAUUAUCACACAGAUUGCUUAUUGAUUUUCUUGUGUUCACUCUGAUGCUUUAUGAAGCACACUCAUUUCAUACGAAGUGCUGAUAGAAUUGGAAAUGCUGGCAGAUCAAAAUGUACUUAAGUGAUUGGAAGUGCAAGCCUUGUGCGUGCAGCUGGGGGUGGGGACUGCCAGACAUCCAAGGUUGGUGCUGACACUGGACUAUGGGUUAAGAGGUGCUGUCCAUGCAGAGGUGUUCAGAAUGGGCUAAAAUUGGCCAUUAAUAAUUUCCAGAGACUACAAACAUCUCAGAGAGAUUUCCCUGCCCACACUGGCAAACAGUGGCAGGUGCUCUAACGUCACUUUUGAAUGUGGUAUAUAGAGAUAUUCCCUGUGCUGUUGGACCAGCUCCUAACGUUUGUUCAUAGCUUGCUACAGACGACAUUAUUCUUACCUCUCCACGAAAUGUCUAAGAGAAUAUUUUCCGAUUAUAAUUAAUGACUACUAGAGAAUAAACAAGGUGCCUGUCAGG